rnacentral:rRNA from 1 species
AGUGAACGCUGGCGGUAGGCCUAACACAUGCAAGUCGAACGGCAGCACAGUAAGAUCUUGCUCUUACGGGUGGCGAGUGGCGGACGGGUGAGGAAUACAUCGGCAUCUACUUUUUCGUGGGGGAUAACGUAGGGAAACUUACGCUAAUACCGCAUACGUCCUACGGGUGAAAGCAGUGGAUCUUCGGACCUUUCGCGAUUGAAUGAGCCGAUGUCGGAUUAGCUAGUUGGCGGGGUAAAGGCCCACCAAGGCGACGAUCCGUAGCUGGUCUGAGAGGAUGAUCAGCCACACUGGAACUGAGACACGGUCCAGACUCCUACGGGAGGCAGCAGUGGGGAAUAUUGGACAAUGGGCGCAAGCCUGAUCCAGCCAUACCGCGUGGGUGAAGAAGGCCUUCGGGUUGUAAAGCCCUUUUGUUGGGAAAGAAAAGCAGCAGGUUAAUACCCCGCUGUUCUGACGGUACCCAAAGAAUAAGCACCGGCUAACUUCGUG